GUGAGUAACACGUGGGUGAUCUGCCCUGUACUUCGGGAUAAGCCUGGGAAACUGGGUCUAAUACCGGAUAUGACCCCGGACUGCAUGGCUUGGGGUGGAAAGAUUUAUCGGUACAGGAUGGGCCCGCGGCCUAUCAGCUUGUUGGUGGGGUAACGGCCUACCAAGGCGACGACGGGUAGCCGACCUGAGAGGGUGACCGGCCACACUGGGACUGAGACACGGCCCAGACUCCUACGGGAGGCAGCAGUGGGGAAUAUUGCACAAUGGGCGAAAGCCUGAUGCAGCGACGCCGCGUGGGGGAUGACGGCCUUCGGGUUGUAAACCCCUUUCGACAGGGACGAAGCGCAAGUGACGGUACCUGUAGAAGAAGCACCGGCCAACUACGUGCCAGCAGCCGCGGUAAUACGUAGGGUGCGAGCGUUGUCCGGAAUUACUGGGCGUAAAGAGCUUGUAGGCGGUCUGUCGCGUCUUCUGUGAAAACUUGGGGCUCAACCUUAAGCUUGCAGGGGAUACGGGCAGACUAGAGUACUUCAGGGGAGACUGGAAUUCCUGGUGUAGCGGUGAAAUGCGCAGAUAUCAGGAGGAACACCGGUGGCGAAGGCGGGUCUCUGGGAAGUAACUGACGCUGAGAAGCGAAAGCAUGGGUAGCAAACAGGAUUAGAUAC
rnacentral:rRNA from 1 species